ACCAACUCCCGAACAGGAAACACACGAACCCUGGAAACAGCCGAACAGGAAAAGCAUACACUCAUUUUACACUCCUGGCAAUCGGCAUACAAUCCAAUUCCCCCAAUAACGAGACGACACUUCGUUUUGAGGGUCAAGCAGAAUCUGGUUUACUGGGGCUAACUGCCUGGCUUUUAUGCAGGUCUCCCAACUGGUGGACACUCCCCUAGGGGACCAGAUGGGAGACUGGGACACAAAGGGUAAAAGGACCAAUCACAGACUUACACAUUUCAACAAUCCCACAAUGCAUCACAAUCCCUCCUCUCUGCCCUGGAGAUAAUUGGGAAGUAAUCCAAUUAUCUCCAAGGAUAGAGGCAAAUAGAG